UUUCAACCAAGCCCAUGAAGCUAGGAACCACUUGACAUUCCAUGUUUGAUGCCAUGCACGUCUCACAUGCACGGUUACCUUCCUUUCUUUCCGCAUUUAGGGUUUUAAUCAACUCUAUAAAUGCAUGUUUUUCUCUCAAGAGAAGUUGCCGCAGCAACCCAUGCAUAGCUGCACUCCACACUGCCGUCAACAACUACACCGACCUCCGCCCCGCACCGUGCACUUCUGCAGUGCACCACCCACGGCCAGCACAGGUCGAACUCGACCACGAGUACUCAGAUCACGACAAGAGACCCACCCACUGAGAGCCACUCCACGAAAGCCCAAGCCUGCGUUUGUCCACCGCACGGAGCCACCUUUCCCAAACCUCACAACCACCACCGAAGCUCUUCCACACCGCAACCCACACGGCAAGCCCCCUGCACGACGGAAGACGCUGCUUCAUUACCACCGAAGGACCCCUGUUUUUAAUACUCGAAACAGAGCAAUCUUGACUCAACCAACCCACAGCCCUUAAGCCACCGCCACCGCCCACACCGUCAGCCUCAGCCUCAAGCAACAUCACUGCCCAGCCAUCGAGCUCACCACUGUCAACCUCCACCUAACCCUUUGGUCUGCCGUGCGCCACCUUAGGCUCACGUGUCCUGCCGCUGCCCCCACCACAGCAAACAACCGCCCAGCUUGCCGCCUUCGUGCCCUCCAUCGCUCGGUGGCGAUUGUUAAUUGUUCGACAUUGUUUAGGAAAA